UAGAGGUCAGUCAGAGGUGGUAAUUAUUAGUGGCAAAAAAGAGGCGGUAAUUAUUACACUCUUUAUUUGCAAAAAAUGAGACUGAAACAAUGCUAAUUGCGUAUGUUUUGUACUUGUAGGAAGGCUAUGAAGGAAGUGUUCUUCCCUUAUUUUUUAUGAAGGUAAGGUCUUGUUCUUGGAUUCCUACUGCUCUAGAUUGCUUGGCUGCUCUAAUUUAUCACUUCAUGGCCUUACGCUCCACCAUUAUCUUUGAACACUUGAUACUUAUUUACUUUUCUUUGUUGGCUUCUUUUUGAUAGUCAUCUGAUUGAAAAAUGCCAGCGUGUGCCACUUUAGUAUCUUUCAGUUUCAACAAACAUAUUGGAUUAUCUUGACAUACGUUGGCAUUGAGAAGAUAAUAUAGAUUGUCACUAUUAAUUUCAAUGUUCACGCUCCAUCCUAUUUAAAUUCCAAUUUGGAUGGAAGUCAACACACUAAGAGAUGUAUGCUUGAUGAAUGAUGUUCACAGCAAUUACUUGAAUUUCUUGGUUUCCGCGGUAUAGUUAUGCAGGUUAAGUUCUGUUUGCUCUUGCAUUCACUUGUGCAGACUGAUGGUUAAUUGUGAACUAUGUAUAUUCUGUAGGUUCUUCUUAGUGAGAUCAAACUAAGCACAAUCGUAUUUUCUCGAAUUAUACACAUGCUAUGAUUUUCAUGCUCUCUGUAGUAAUUAUGUUGAAUUCUCAUAAUUCCUUUUGCAUUAUUAUGCCAAACAAUUUGUAUGCUAAAAACAUACUUCAAUAUCCCAUCUCCCCAUGUCGUCCCGGUUUGUUCUAGCUGGGCACUGCCUCGGCUGCAAAGCGUGUGUUGUCCCAUGAAGCAGGCC
rnacentral:lncRNA from 1 species